CUCCCCCACUCUCUGUAAUGUUGAAAACCCACCUGAACACCCUCCUUAAACCCUAGACCUCCACCAUCGCAAAUCUAAAAAACGACGCCUUUUGGAAUGGGAUUGGUUAGUAACAGAUCUCAAAACAAUUGGUUCUUGGAGGGUGUAAAUCUGAAAACGAUAGGGUUGCAUCGGUGGCGGGUGAGUGGUGAUGGUGGGGUUGCAUCAGUGGUGGGUGGAUGGUGAUGGUUUUAAGGUGACGGUUCUAACGUGUUAUAUAGCGGUAGUUCCAAACGAUAUUUACCAAGAAUUGGCAGAAUGGAAGCUUGUCGUCACCGUUGUUGCACCAAUUCGGAAGUCAGGAGUUCAACCUGGGCCUGUAAUACGAUGCCAAUGGCAUUCAAGGUCUCAAGAAAUGCCACAUGUACUAGGUCACAUGUUAGAGCAAAAUGUCAAAGAAGAAUUUAGCCAAAGAAUGGCUAGUCACGAUCAAACUUUCUUCAGAUUGAUCUAUUACAUAUCAAAGUGCUACCAAUAAGUCCAUAGAUCCACCCAACUUUGGUGUUAAUUCUAAAUCUGUUAAUCUAAACCUUGAAUUAUAGUUCAAGAAUCAACAAAGGUGGCUAUUGUUCUUACGACGACAGUGGUGGUUGUGGUGAGGUGAGGUGAGGAAAGGGCGGCGGUGGUGGUGGUUGUGUGGAGAGGGGUGGCAGAGGUGGUGAUGAUUGUGGGGUGAGUGUAUGUCUUGUUGAUGAAGAUGUUAUAUGGUGAUGAAGAUGAAAAGAUUUGAUGAACAUAAAUAUCUUAUAAAGAUGAAGUGGUGGUAUUGUUUCAAUAAUAAUGCAAACGACACAUUUGCCCUUCGAAUUUUACUUGAAAAGACAAUAUUGCCCAGGUCAACUAAUGGUUGACUAACGAAAUCUGUUAGCAGGGACGUGAUUGACCAAAUCGACAACUACAGGAGCUUGAUUGUUCAAUUUUACCAAAUAAAAACUCAACGUGCCGUUGGGUGUUUACCACAGAGAGUAAAAUUAAUGUGUUGAAUAAAUGAAGAUGGGCUGAUGACAAUACAUAGAUUUUAAUUACAAAAUUUAUUGGGCUGAAGAAAAACUUGCGUAUGGGCUGCACCAUUGAUUUAAUUGAUAUUAAAAUUACAUUGGGAAAGUAAGGCCGACGAAUGGACUUAGAAAGUGAGGCUCAUUGUAUGGGGGCAAUUAAUUAGACGAAUGGAACUGCCAAUGAUCUCUAGAUCAAGUGGUGGAGGGUUUGCAUUUCUCUUGAGAGAUGCAAGUUCGACUCCCACUUGGUGCAGAGUGAGGCAUUGGUGGGCAAU